AUUGAACGCUGGCGGCAGGCUUAACACGUGCAAGUCGAGCGGAGUGAUGGUGCUCGCACUAUCACUUAGCGGCGGACGGGUGAGUAAUGCUUAGGAAUCUGCCUAUUAGUGGGGGACAAUAUCUCGAAAGGGAUGCUAAUACCGCAUACGUCCUACGGGAGAAAGCAGGGGAUCACUUGUGACCUUGCGCUAAUAGAUGAGCCUAAGUCGGAUUAGCUAGUUGGUGGGGUAAAGGCCUACCAAGGCGACGAUCUGUAGCGGGUCUGAGAGGAUGAUCCGCCACACUGGGACUGAGACACGGCCCAGACUCCUACGGGAGGCAGCAGUGGGGAAUAUUGGACAAUGGGGGGAACCCUGAUCCAGCCAUGCCGCGUGUGUGAAGAAGGCCUUAUGGUUGUAAAGCACUUUAAGCGAGGAGGAGGCUCUUUUGGUUAAUACCCAAGAUGAGUGGACGUUACUCGCAGAAUAAGCACCGGCUAACUCUGUGCCAGCCGCCGCAGUAACAC
rnacentral:rRNA from 1 species